GGCUAAAACAGUCAGGAUGUUGGCUUAGAAGCAGCCAUCAUUUAAAGAAAGCGUAAUAGCUCACUGAUCGAGUCGUCCUGCGCGGAAGAUGUAACGGGGCUAAGCCAGUCACCGAAGCUGCGGAUAUGCGCAAGCAUAUGGUAGGAGAGCGUUCUGUAAGCCUGCGAAGGUGUCUUGUAAAGGAUGCUGGAGGUAUCAGAAGUGCGAAUGCUGACAUGAGUAGCGAUAAUGGGGGUGAAAAGCCCCCACGCCGUAAGCCCAAGGUUUCCUGUUCAACGUUCAUCGGAGCAGGGUGAGUCGGCCCCUAAGGCGAGGCAGAGAUGCGUAGCUGAUGGGAAGCAGGUUAAUAUUCCUGCACCGUCGUAUGAUGCGAUGGGGGGACGGAUCGCGGAAGGUUGUCUGACUGUUGGAAUAGUCAGUUUCUGCUUCAUAGAAGGUGCUUAGGCAAAUCCGGGCACGUAAUUCAAGGGAGUGGGACGAGUGUACUUGUACACGUAGCAAUCGGAAGUGGUUCCAAGAAAAGCCUCUAAGCUUCAGUCAUACGAGACCGUACCGCAAACCGACACAGGUGGGCGAGAUGAGUAUUCUAAGGCGCUUGAGAGAACUCGGGAGAAGGAA
rnacentral:rRNA from 1 species